AACGAACGCUGGCGGCGUGGAUAAGACAUGCAAGUCGAACGGGAUUUUUUUCUGUAGCAAUACAGAGAAAAGUCUAGUGGCGAACGGGUGCGUAACACGUGAGCAACCUGCCGUGAAGUGGGGGAUAGCUCGCCGAAAGGCGAAUUAAUACCGCAUGUGGCCAAGGAAGACAUCUUCCUGACGCCAAAGCCGGGGCAACCUGGCGCUUCUCGAGGGGCUCGCGGCCUAUCAGCUUGUUGGUGAGGUAACGGCUCACCAAGGCUAUGACGGGUAGCUGGUCUGAGAGGACGACCAGCCACACUGGAACUGAGACACGGUCCAGACACCUACGGGUGGCAGCAGUCGAGAAUUUUUCACAAUGGGGGAAACCCUGAUGGAGCGACGCCGCGUGGAGGAUAAAGGUUUUCGGAUUGUAAACUCCUGUCAUUAGAGAACAAGGCACACGGUUUAACUGGCCGUGUGUUGAUAGUAUCUGAAGAGGAAGAGACGGCUAACUCUGUGCCAGCAGCCGCCGUAA
rnacentral:rRNA from 1 species